CCUACGGGAGGCUGCAGUGGGGAAUUCUGCGCAAUGCUCGGAAGAGUGACGCAGCGACGCCGCGUGAAUGACGAAGGCCUUCGGGUCGUAAAGUUCUUUCGACAGGGAAGAAAAUGCCUAUAAGUAACUGUGUAUGUAUUGACGGUACCUGGAUAAGCAGCCCCGGCUAACUCCGUGCCAGCAGCCGCGGCAAUACGGAGGGGGCGAGCGUUGUCCGGAGGGACUGGGCGUAAAGAGUGCGUAGGCGGUGUUGUAAGUCCUGAGUCAAAGACUAGAGCUCAACUCUAGUAAGGCUAGUGAUACUAUAAAACUAGAGUACAAGAGAGGAGAGCAGAAUUCCUGGUGUAGCGGUGAAAUGCGUAGAUAUUAGGAGGAAUACCAGUGGCGAAGGCGGCAAUCUGGCUUGUAACUGACGUUGAGGUGCGAAAGCGUGGGUAGCAAACAGGAUUAGAUACCCUGGUAGUC
rnacentral:rRNA from 1 species